rnacentral:miRNA from 1 species
AUCAUAGAGGAAAAUCCAU